UACGGGGGGUGCAAACGUUGCUCGGAAUUAUUGGGCGUAAAGCGCACGUAGGCGGUCCUGUAAGUCGGGUGUGAAAGCCCCAGGCUUAACCUGGGAAGUGCACUCGAAACUGUAGGGCUUGAGUAUGGAAGAGGGUCUCGGAAUUCCCGGUGUAGAGGUGAAAUUCGUAGAUAUCGGGAGGAACACCAGUGGCGAAGGCGGAGACCUGGGCCAAUACUGACGCUGAGGUGCGAAAGCCAGGGGAGCAAACGGG
rnacentral:rRNA from 1 species